CUCUGUGUGAUGCCAGGAGCCUCCUGAGAGGAUUUCCCCAAUGCUGGAGCCUGAGCAGUGAUCCUGUGUGUCCUUUGCCAUGUGACACAGCUACAGGUGUCAGCAAGAAUGAAUCCUGUAGGCUGAAAUGCAGCUGGAGAAGGAGGGCAGCUCAGGCCACCGCAGCCUCAGGAGAUUGAUAGUGCUGGCAGCUGAGGAUCUAAUUAUGGAUUAUUUGGGUCGCACUCUUUUAUCCCAGUGUGCCAUAAAUCUGACGAUGGGCCCUUUAAUUCCUGCUUGUUCUGUCAGGAUGAAGAACAGAGCUAAAUCCAGCAGACCUUGUUUUGGCAAAACUCCCACUGAAGUCGGGGCUUGUGAAAGUCAGGUUUGUCUCCCGGUUCCUGCUGAUUAUUUGGG
rnacentral:lncRNA from 1 species